GGAGAGCUGACCGAGCGGUCGAAGGUGCUUGAUUCGAAAUCAAGUGUACCGUCAGGUACCAAGGGUUCGAAUCCCUUGCUCUCCGCCA
rnacentral:tRNA from 1 species